AUGGCGAACGGCGACGAGGACAUGGCCACCACGGGAUUGAUGAAGACAGAGGGGCUGAAGGUCCUAGCUGUGGACGAUGAUCCCGUCUGCCUCCAGACCUUGACGCAGAUGCUUCGGCGCGGCGGCUACGAAGUGACGGCCAGCGCCUCGCCUGUAGAUGCGCUGAAAGAGGUGGAGAAGAACCCGGAUGGGAUCGACUUCAUCAUGACCGUCGCACGGACGUGGGGACGAGGGAUGGACGGCUUCGGCCUUGUCAAGCGCGUCGGGAAACGUUACCCUGUCAUCCUUAUGUUCUCGGGCGACGAGACCAUGGAGACAAGGGAAAGGGGAUUGCAGGAAGGCGCUUGCUACUUGAUGGACAAGCCCCUACAUGACGUGCAGAUAUACUUCAUCUGGCAGCACGUCGUGCGGUGGAGGCGCAAAGCCGCCAGCGCAGCCACGGAGAACCCUAACCCUCGCCACAGCCAAGGCGUCCAUCUGGAUGACACGCCAAGGAAGAGAGGGCAAGGACUGAACGAUUCCAACAAGGGCAAGGGGGCUUCCGGGGGCGGCCUGCAGCUGGGGACCACAAAGAAGAAAAAGGUCGAGUGGACUACAGAGAUGCAUGAAUUGUUCGUCAAUGCAGUGACCCAGCUAAAGACAACAGGAGGUGCGUGA
rnacentral:rRNA from 1 species